UACGGAGGGAGCUAGCGUUGUUCGGAAUUACUGGGCGUAAAGCGCGCGUAGGCGGCUUUGUAAGUUAGAGGUGAAAGCCCGGGGCUCAACUCCGGAAUUGCCUUUAAGACUGCAUCGCUUGAAUCAUGGAGAGGUUAGUGGAAUUCCGAGUGUAGAGGUGAAAUUCGUAGAUAUUCGGAAGAACACCAGUGGCGAAGGCGACUAACUGGACAUGUAUUGACGCUGAGGUACGAAAGCGUGGGGAGCAAACAGG
rnacentral:rRNA from 1 species